UACAGAGGGCGCGCGCGGUUGGGGGGCGGCGGUUGGGCGGCCGCUCGGCUUGGCGGGAGCGGGACAGGGACAUGGGGACAUCAGGCCUUCGCCUCUGGCGGCGGGUCCGGGUCUGAUCCAAGCCGGGGCUUUCUUCCACUCUCACACUUCGGCCUGUGGACUGUCAUCAGCACAUCUCCAGGCAGGUGAUGAUACAAUCAUUCCUUUUGGCAUUGUGGUUGAAUAAAAAUGUCCCCAAUCUCAUUGUUUUAUUAAUUGAACAUGUAGAUGAACAUCCUCAAGGAGUGUAAUCAGAUGGAAACUGAUUAAGAUGCGAUAUUUAAGAGCUUGUUCAAAGAAGGGGCAUAUUUUGGCUGAUCACCAACGGUGAUGAAAUAAAAUACAGGGCAGAGGUGCAGAACCUGGCGAACUGGUGCACACGUAACAACUUGUCACUAAACACCUCCAAGACCAAGGAGCUGAUUAUUGACUUCAGGAGGUCCCACAAUGGAGAAUACGCCCCAAUCGCCAUUUACGGGGAAAGUGUGGAGAGAGUGUCCAGCUUUAAGUUUCUGGGCACUCACAUUUCAGAGGACCUCACAUCGUCCACCAACAACGCUGCGCUGGUCAAGAAGGCACAGCAACGACUGUUCUUCCUGAGGACAUUAAAAAAGACUGGUCUGCCCCAACAGCUGCUGACAACGUUCUACCGCUGCACCACAGAUGCAUAUUAACGUAUGGCAUCUCUGUGUGGUAUCUCAGCUGCACGGAGGCGGAGAGGAGAGCCCUGUAACGGACUGUUUGAACUACUUCCCUCCGGCAGACGUUACAAGGCCUUCUAUGCCCGAACCUCCAGACUCAGAAACAGCUUUAUUCCAAGAGCUAUAGUGGCUCUGAACCGGCCCUGCUGAGUGCCCCCCACCCCCCAUGAACUGUCUCCCUCGGAUGGUCACGACACACAGCUUAUUUAUUUAUUUUACUUUUCUUUUUCAUCAGUUGGAGCUGCAUACUAAAUCUUGUUGCACUAACGUGCAAUGACAAUAAAAUAUAUUAUUAUUAUUAUUAUUAUUAAAAGAGUGACAGAGAUACGUGCAGGGGAAUGUGUGAGGAGAUUAUUAUUUUUCUUUAGUUUUUGCUUGAACCAGGACAUCUGAAGAUUCAAAGUUUAAUAUAGUCAUUGUGCUGAUACUGACCCCAACCAACCACGUAAUGAAUCCAUUUCGGAGAUUUUACUUUUAUGAUGCCAUUUAAACUUCACUUGGAUUUCAAUCACUUCAAUGUAAAAGUAAUUGGGAAUGGGGAGCAUUGGAACAAAAAUUUGCCCUCGCUACAUAUUAACUGUAAUAUAAUAGUGUAUGCAUGUUGGUAGGUGCAAUCAAAAUAAAGAUAUUUUUAUCAUUGUUGUGUUAUGAAUACCACAGAAAAUAUUAUGUACUCUCAAGAUCACAUUUAAUAGAAUAAUAUUGCUCAAAUAUAUAGUUAUUAGACUUUGCAUUUUGGAUAAGUCCCAGCUGAGAGGAAGACAGCUAAAUACUGAAAAUAUUGCGAGUGAAAAUGACUUCAGGGCAGUUUGUUCGGAAAAUGAAAGAAAUGGUAGCAGAAUACUUAUACAGCUGAGUAAGUAUAAUUUUAUGGAUGAGAAAUUGUGUUCAACCAAUUGAUGACUUAUUUGAGAAAGUAACUAGCAUGUUAGAUAACAAGGAAGCCAAUGGAUGUAGCAAAUUUUGUUCUACAUAAUUUGGUCUGUGAAGUGCCCCAUAAAAGAUUAACGCAUUGGAUAAGCACCUGUGGACUUGAACAUAAUAGGUUAAGUCCAGGGGGUCAGAUAUGGGGCUUUAUGUGUGGGCCAGAUAUAUUGUCAGUGCAGAAUGGCUGGGAGCAAGGCCAAGUGUGCAUCCAUAGUCAAGGUCUGGAAUAGUACUAGGUGUGCAGUCAAAGCUGGGACCAGGGGAGUGUUCAGCACUGGGAACCUAAGCAGGUAAGCAGCUAUGAUCAGGGUAAAAAUGGGGGGCCAGGUGGACUCGGUCAGGAAUGAGAGAAGGUAUGCAACUGGAGUCAGGGUCAGGAGUAGCACCAGGUGUGCAGUGAGACCCAGGUUGGUUAACAUGUGUCUGAUUAUAAUUUGAUUUCCAUACAUGACUAUACUAAGGUCAUUCAUGUGCUGCACAUGUUGAUGAGAGCCUGGGCUCUACAGUGGAAUGUAAUUAGGAAUGCAAUUUAGUCUAACCUUAUUCAUAGCGAAUCCGAUUUAAAGCAUAUAUAUUGCAUUCAAGUGUAAGUUAAAAGACUCGCUACAGUAUGCACCAUAUUGCACAAUUUCAAGUUGAAAAAUGCAAAUGUUCCAUACCA